GACGAACGCUGGCGGCGUGCCUAACACAUGCAAGUCAACUUGAGGGAAGGAGCAAUCUGACCUGAUGGUGGCGCAAGGGUGCGUAACGCGUAAGUAACUUGCCCAAGGUAAGGAAUAACGUCGAGAAAUCGGCGCUAAUACCUCAUAAUGCAGCGGAUCCGCAUGGAUAUGUUGUUAAAGGUUUACCGCCUUGGGAUAGGCUUGCGUCUGAUUAGCUAGUUGGUGUGGUAAUGGCACACCAAGGCUACGAUCAGUAACUGGUCUGAGAGGAUGAUCAGUCACACUGGAACUGAGACACGGUCCAGAC
rnacentral:rRNA from 1 species